rnacentral:rRNA from 1 species
UACGUAGGUGGCAAGCGUUGUCCGGAUUUACUGGGUGUAAAGGGCGUGUAGCCGGGUGUGCAAGUCAGAUGUGAAAUCUGGAGGCUCAACCUCCAAACUGCAUUUGAAACUGUGCAUCUUGAGUAUCGGAGAGGUAACCGGAAUUCCUAGUGUAGCGGUGAAAUGCGUAGAUAUUAGGAAGAACACCAGUGGCGAAGGCGGGUUACUGGACGACAACUGACGGUGAGGCGCGAAAGCGUGGGGAGCAAACAGG